rnacentral:misc_RNA from 1 species
AGAGGUCCCUCAAUUAUGAAAGGUAAUUGUACAAAGUUACUUCCCCUUUUUGUUGUGCGAGAAUAAAUAUAAUUGGCUGUCUUUUUCCUGGGUAGCGGACAGAAAAUAAUUUGCCUUAUCUAUGAGGGAACCAUUACCGAGUAGCCUUAUCUGCAAUGGAAUAUUAAACUAAAGAGAAUAUCUAUGUAGGAUUCGUCGUCUGUUAUAGAAUAUUAACCCUAAUCGCAGGGGUUAAAGGGUUAACAUCCUACACUUAUUUUAACACUGGUGCUGGACUGUUUAUGUUUCUGUGAGUGUAACUAAGAAUAGAUUAUACAUCGUAAUUCAGCCAAUUGAAGGAGCUGGAAUAUUUCUAAA